rnacentral:rRNA from 1 species
GAUGAACGCUGGCGGCGUGCUUAACACAUGCAAGUCGAACGAUGAAGCCCAGCUUGCUGGGUGGAUUAGUGGCGAACGGGUGAGUAACACGUGAGUAACCUGCCCUUAACUCUGGGAUAAGCCUGGGAAACUGGGUCUAAUACCGGGUAGGAGCGCCUACCGCAUGGUGGGUGUUGGAAAGAUUUAUCGGUUUUGGAUGGACUCGCGGCAUAUCAGCUUGUUGGUGAGGUAAUGGCUCACCAAGGCGACGACGGGUAGCCGGCCUGAGAGGGUGACCGGCCACACUGGGACUGCGACACGGCCCAGACUCCUACGGGAGGCAGCAGUGGGGAAUAUUGCACAAUGGGCGAAAGCCUGAUGCAGCGACGCCGCGUGAGGGAUGACGGCCUUCGGGUUGUAAACCUCUUUCAGUAGGGAAGAAGCGAAAGUGACGGUACCUGCAGAAGAAGCACCGGCUAACUACGUGCCAGCCGCCGCAGUAA